rnacentral:tRNA from 2 species
AGGCUUGUAGCUCAGGUGGUUAGAGCGCACCCCUGAUAAGGGUGAGGUCGGUGGUUCAAGUCCCACUCAGGCCUACCA